rnacentral:rRNA from 1 species
CCUACGGGUGGCAGCAGUGGGGAAUAUUGGACAAUGGGGGGAACCCUGAUCCAGCCAUGCCGCGUGUGUGAAGAAGGCCCUCGGGUUGUAAAGCACUUUCAGUGAGGAAGAACGCCUGGUGGUUAAUACCCAUCAGGAAAGACAUCACUCACAGAAGAAGCACCGGCUAACUCCGUGCCAGCAGCCGCGGUAAUACGGAGGGUGCGAGCGUUAAUCGGAAUUACUGGGCGUAAAGCGCGCGUAGGUGGCUUGAUAAGCCGGUUGUGAAAGCCCCGGGCUCAACCUGGGAACGGCAUCCGGAACUGUCAAGCUAGAGUGCAGGAGAGGAAGGUAGAAUUCCCGGUGUAGCGGUGAAAUGCGUAGAGAUCGGGAGGAAUACCAGUAGCGAAGGCGGCCUUCUGGACUGACACUGACACUGAGGUGCGAAAGCGUGGGUAGCAAACAGGAUUAGAUACCCGUGUAGUC